AUUGAACGCUGGCGGCAGGCCUAACACAUGCAAGUCGAGCGGAUGACGGGAGCUUGCUCCUUGAUUCAGCGGCGGACGGGUGAGUAAUGCCUAGGAAUCUGCCUGGUAGUGGGGGACAACGUUUCGAAAGGAACGUUAAUACCGCAUACGUCCUACGGGAGAAAGCGGGGGACCUUCGGGCCUUGCGCUAUCAGAUGAGCCUAGGUCGGAUUAGCUUGUUGGUGAGGUAAUGGCUCACCAAGGCGACGAUCCGUAACUGGUCUGAGAGGAUGAUCAGUCACACUGGAACUGAGACACGGUCCAGACUCCUACGGGAGGCAGCAGUGGGGAAUAUUGGACAAUGGGCGAAAGCCUGAUCCAGCCAUGCCGCGUGUGUGAAGAAGGUCUUCGGAUUGUAAAGCACUUUAAGUUGGGAGGAAGGGUUGUAGAUUAAUACUCUGCAAUUUUGACGUUACCGACAGAAUAAGCACCGGCUAACUCUGUGCCAGCCGCCGCAGUAACAC
rnacentral:rRNA from 1 species